CUCCUCUGCUCCCCCUCUCUAAUCCUUGCUAUCUGGGUGCUUAGUGCUAUCUCAAUGCAAUGCACCUGGGCAAGGGUUCAGAGAAGGUGAGC
ensembl:miRNA Mir500 microRNA 500